AGAGUUUGAUCAUGGCUCAGGAUUAACGCUGGCGGCGUGCUUUAUGCAUGCAAGUCGAACGGUCUCGAUUUAUCGGGAUAGUGGCAGACGGGUGAGUAGCGCGUAAGUAACCUGCCCAUAGGUAGGGAAUAGCUCUGAGAAAUUGGAGGUAAUACCGUAUGUGGUGAUGGGGUAAGGCUCCAUCACUAAAGCCUUCGGGUGCUUGGGGAGGGGCUUGCGUCCGAUUAGCUAGUUGGUAAGGUAAUGGCCUACCAAGGCGACGAUCGGUAGCUGGUCUGAGAGGGUGACCAGCCACACUGGGACUGAGACACGGCCCAGACUCCUACGGGAGGCAGCAGCAAGGAAUAUUGUGCAAUGGGCGAAAGCCUGACACAGCGACGCCGCGUGGGGGAUGAAGGCCUUCGGGUCGUAAACCCCUUUUCUCAGGGAAGAACAAUGACGGUACCUGGGGAAUAAGUCUCGGCUAACUACGUGCCAGCAGCCGCGGUAAUACGUAGGAGGCAAGCGUUAUCCGGAUUUAUUGGGCGUAGAGCGGGUGUAGGUGGUUCUUCAAGUCGGAUGUAAAAUCUCCCGGCUCAACUGGGAGGGAACAUUCGAUACUGCUGGGCUAGAGUGCCGCAGAGGAAGGCGGAAUUCCCGGUGUAGUGGUGAUAUGCGUAGAUAUCGGGAGGAACACCAGUGGCGAAGGCGGCCUUCUGGGCGGUUACUGACGCUGAGACCCGAAAGCGUGGGGAGCGAACAGGAUUAGAUACCCUGGUAGUCCACGCUGUAAACGAUGGACACUAGGUAUGGGGAGUAUCGACCCUUUCCGUGCCGAAGCUAACGCAUUAAGUGUCCCGCCUGGGGAGUACGGUCGCAAGACUAAAACUCAAAUGAAUUGACGG
rnacentral:rRNA from 1 species